GGCUGUAGCUCAGUGAAAGAGCAUCUGCUUUGAAUGCAGAAGGUCCCAGGUUCAGUCUCGGCAUCUCCUAGCAGGGCUG